rnacentral:rRNA from 1 species
GUGAGGAAUAUUGGACAAUGGGCGCAAGCCUGAUCCAGCCAUGCCGCGUGCAGGAUGACGGUCCUAUGGAUUGUAAACUGCUUUUAUACGAGAAGAAACACUCCAACGUGUUGGAGCUUGACGGUAUCGUAAGAAUAAGGAUCGGCUAACUCCGUGCCAGCAGCCGCGGUAAUACGGAGGAUCCAAGCGUUAUCCGGAAUCAUUGGGUUUAAAGGGUCCGUAGGCGGUUUAGUAAGUCAGUGGUGAAAGCCCAUCGCUCAACGGUGGAACGGCCAUUGAUACUGCUAGACUUGAAUUAUUAGGAAGUAACUAGAAUAUGUAGUGUAGCGGUGAAAUGCUUAGAGAUUACAUGGAAUACCAAUUGCGAAGGCAGGUUACUACUAAUGGAUUGACGCUGAUGGACGAAAGCGUGGGUAGCGAACAGGAUUAGAAACCCCAGUAGUCC